ACUCCUGCGGGAGGCAGCAGUGGGGAAUUUUGGACAAUGGGCGAAAGCCUGAUCCAGCAAUGCCGCGUGAGUGAAGAAGGCCUUCGGGUUGUAAAGCUCUUUUGUCAGGGAAGAAACGGUGAGAGCUAAUAUCUCUUGCUAAUGACGGUACCUGAAGAAUAAGCACCGGCUAACUACGUGCCAGCAGCCGCGGUAAUACGUAGGGUGCAAGCGUUAAUCGGAAUUACUGGGCGUAAAGCGUGCGCAGGCGGUUUUGUAAGUCUGAUGUGAAAUCCCCGGGCUCAACCUGGGAAUUGCAUUGGAGACUGCAAGGCUAGAAUCUGGCAGAGGGGGGUAGAAUUCCACGUGUAGCAGUGAAAUGCGUAGAUAUGUGGAGGAACACCGAUGGCGAAGGCAGCCCCCUGGGUCAAGAUUGACGCUCAUGCACGAAAGCGUGGGGAGCAAACAGGAUUAGAAACCCGGGUAGUCCC
rnacentral:rRNA from 1 species